ACUCCAGUAGCGGCGGGAGCAGCAGCGUUAGGCCGGGGUGUGGCUGCACCUCUGCGAAGGCUGUCGUGCCCCGUGCAGCUGCGGCGUUCGGGUGGGGGAGGGGAGGCUCACACCCUGCGGCGGCUUAAGCCUGGAUUUACGCACUGGAGGAGGGAAUUAGCCCUGAGAUGUCAGCCCUGUGCCCCUGGCGCUGUCCACCCGGACGCCCGCGGAGCGCCAGGCGCCGCAGCGGACCGCGCGCGCACUGAUUGCCGCAGCUACUCUCCCUGCCGUCGCCGCCCGGGACCGGGUGACAUUGAGGUUUUCGUCUAUCGCCGCUGGGCCGAUAGGGCUUCUUUUUAAGAUUUGGCUUUCCAAGUAAGAUUUUUGUUUGCCUGCUUUUCUCCUGGAAUUUUUUUGUUUUUGGUCGAAGAAGCAGGUAACUUGCAUAUCUUAAGGAAAACAUUGUUUUUGCUUUGCUUUUGUUGUUUAAAGAUCCUAAAACGUACCGUGAUUCCUUUACGUUACUAAUAAUUGGAAAGUGUGUUAAAUCAAGGGUUCGCUUAAUGUUCUUUAGCCUUUGUACAUAGAAUAUAUAAAUGUCGUGAGUCAUCUUUACGAGGUU
rnacentral:lncRNA from 1 species